AGACGUUGAAUAAUUUAAAGAUUCGCAUGAGGAGAUCGAAUAGAACAACAAAUAAAUGCAUAUACGAUAUCAUACAACGCGUCUUUUAAAAAUGACUUAUGUCUGCGGAUCGGUUGACUCUUUAAUCAAUUAUUGUCUCACUUGGGUCAGAGAAUGCAUGCAUUAAAAUGUAGCUCCUACACUGUAAUUUUUAAAAUUGAAAAAUAAAAAAGAAGAAAAAAAAAGAUCAUUAUCGGACAGGACACUUUAAAAUACAUGUUAGCCAAUGGAAUCAAAAGAAUAAAUACGGACGAGUUAUUGUUUAGAGCCGUAAGUUCAUGGUUCAUUGCUCGAUAUUUCUGAUAUACCAUUGAUACAAUGUUUAACUGUUCUACAUACAGAAGCGUUUUGCAAUUAUUGAUAGUUUUACUAAUUGUCAAGGAAUUUGGAUCGUCCACUGUGCGUGCACAAUCAGGAGAUAAUUAUACUACAAAACCUUGUGUGACAAAACGAUUUGUUAAAACAUGGGACAAGGAAGAUUUUCCUAAUCCUCAGACGGAUAUUAACAGUGACUUUUGUGGGAGAGGAUGUAAAUCUUCUUGGAUAUGUGACCCUGGACAUAUUAUAAGUACUGAGCAAGCUGACGGCUUGGACAAAGAGAUUGAAGCUAUACGUACAACAACACCUUGUACGUGUUUGUCUUGUGAGGAUGAAGGAGGGUAUAUCAUUUCGAUAGCGUUGGUACCCUCGAUUACUUACAUACCAGGGUGAGUUAUCUACCUGGGGAAAAUGAAGCAGCAAAGAAUUUUACAGAUUAUCUCCACAAUGUUUCUUGGUCGUAUGGUAAUUGUGGCAAUGAUGUGGUAAUAUUUGUUUCAAGAGAACUUAAGAUGGUCCAAAUAUCAGCAGGUAAAAUGGUGAAUGAAAUGUUUGGUAAGGAACGCUUGCUUAAAAUUCAAAUUGAAGCCGAAGUUUUACUAAAGGAAGACAAAAUUUCACCAGGGUUAAAUCAUUUGGUUUCAAGAUUCAGACAAAUGUUCAAAUUAAAGUCAAGCGACAUCCCAAACCAUGAUAGCCAAAUGAAUACUGCGUUAGUAGUCAUACUAAUUACUGUAGGAAUACUGUUUCUCAUUUGUAUUUUCUCAGUGGUUCUUCAUCGACAAGGACAUUGUCAAAGGUUAAACACAUAUCGUAUUAAUCUUCCACCAAUCACAAUUCGCAUACGCAAACCUCAUAAACACCACCACCAUCACCACCACCACCACGAAAGAAGGCGAAGCAGUACGUCAUUGCGUUCCGGGGAAGAGUUGCAACAGAUGUACACUGUAGAUGAUAUUAAGGACGAACUAUCUAGAUAAUGUUCAGUUAAAAUUGAGGAAGGCGAAACGUUAGAAAUGUAUGAUUGUAAACAAAAUAGUUCAAAAAUGAUCUGUUAGGAAAAGGAGAUACAGAUUAGAAAAGUAGCAUCAUUGAAAAAUAUUGGUCAGUUAACAACGAAAAGUCUUGCACAAAUGAUAAAGAUCAGUUCAAUAAAAAGUAAGCACAAAUGUGUCACUCGAGGAGUGAGUUGGAAAAGUAUAUCUAAAAUACUGAUAACAGCAUCGUGUGGGUCUGAAAAUCUCAGUUAUUUUAAGGGAAAGGGAUUUUACAUUGUUAUAUACUUGUUUCCCGUUAUUUUUGGUAAAAUUGGAAAACUGUUUUUGGGUAUGUUUUUUAUUUAAUAUAUUUCCUAUUCUUGUACUAUCAAGUAUGGUAGUUAAGAAUAUGGUUUAUUUUAUUCAUUACAUUUUUAUAUGAUAUGUUUUUUUCUUAUUAUAUAUCGUUUAAUGCAAUGAGCUUAAAUUUUAAUCGUAAACAGAUGUAUUGGCUUUUAAAUAAAAAAAAAAUAGUGGGAUCGAGUAAGUCUCUUUCUCCCUUCUUUUAAAUUAGUUAUUUACACAAGAGUUAUCAUGCUAAAAUGUAUCAUCAGCUUUACUGGUUAUCAUUGUAUUUAUGUUGAAAUCCUAUCUAUAUGUAUCAGAUAAAUUAUAUUUAAUCAAUGUUUACGCAUAAAACUGAUAAAAUGAACUAUGUAUCAAAUAUUAAAAAUAACCAAACCAG